rnacentral:rRNA from 1 species
CUACCCAUCCCUACGGGAUAGCUCCGGGAAACUGGAGAUAAUACCGUAUACGUCCUCCGGGAGAAAGAUUUAUCGGGGAUGGAUGAGCCCGCGUUGGAUUAGCUAGUUGGUGGGGUAAUGGCCUACCAAGGCGACGAUCCAUAGCUGGUCUAAGAGGAUGAUCAGCCACAUUGGGACUGAGACACGGCCCAAACUCCUACGGGAGGCAGCAGUGGGGAAUAUUGGACAAUGGGCGCAAGCCUGAUCCAGCCAUGCCGCGUGAGUGAUGAAGGCCCUAGGGUUGUAAAGCUCUUUCAGUGGGGACGAUAAUGACGGUACCCACAGAAGAAGCCCCGGCUAACUUCGUGCCAGCAGCCGCGGUAAUACGAAGGGGGCUAGCGUUGUUCGGAAUUACUGGGCGUAAAGCGCACGUAGGCGGACAUUUAAGUCAGGGGUGAAAUCCCGGGGCUCAACCCCGGAACUGCCUCUGAUACUGGGUGUCUUGAGUGUGGUAGAGGUGAGUGGAAUUGCGAGUGUAUAGGUGAAAUUCGUAGAUAUUCGCAGGAACACCAGUGGCGAAGGCGGCUCACUGGACCACAAGUGACGCUGA